rnacentral:rRNA from 1 species
CCUAGGGUGGCUGCAGUGGGGAAUAUUGGACAAUGGGCGAAAGCCUGAUCCAGCCAUGCCGCGUGUGUGAAGAAGGCCUUCGGGUUGUAAAGCACUUUCAGUGGGGAAGAAAGCCUUGGGGCUAAUACCCUCGAGGAAGGACAUCACCCACAGAAGAAGCACCGGCUAACUCCGUGCCAGCAGCCGCGGUAAUACGGAGGGUGCGAGCGUUAAUCGGAAUUACUGGGCGUAAAGCGCGCGUAGGCGGUCUGAUAAGCCGGUUGUGAAAGCCCCGGGCUCAACCUGGGAACGGCAUCCGGAACUGUCAGGCUAGAGUGCAGGAGAGGAAGGUAGAAUUCCCGGUGUAGCGGUGAAAUGCGUAGAGAUCGGGAGGAAUACCAGUGGCGAAGGCGGCCUUCUGGACUGACACUGACGCUGAGGUGCGAAAGCGUGGGUAGCAAACAGGAUUAGAUACCCUAGUAGUC